GGCCCGUUAGCUCAGUUGGUUAGGAGCGUCGUGCUAAUAACGCGAAGGUCGCGGGUUCCUGAUCUCUCACGGGCCA